UGGGGAAUAUUGCACACUUGAGGGAACUCUCAUGCAGCGCCGCCGCGUGAACGAAGAAGGCUUUCGAGCCGUAAAGUUCUUUUAUAUGGGAAGAUAAUGACGGUACCAUAAGAAAAAGCCCCGGCUAACUACGUGCCAGCAGCCGCGGUUAUACGUAGGGGGCUAGCGUUGUCCGGAAUCACUGGGCGUAAAGGGUUCGCAGGCGGAAAUGCAAGUCAGGUGUAAAAGGCAGUAGCUUAACUACUGUAAGCAUUUGAAACUGCAUAUCUUGAGAAGAGUAGAGGUAAGUGGAAUUUUUAGUGUAGCGGUGAAAUGCGUAGAUAUUAAAAAGAAUACCGGUGGCGAAGGCGACUUACUGGGCUCAUUCUGACGCUGAGGAACGAAAGCGUGGGUAGCAAACAGG
rnacentral:rRNA from 1 species